AGCUGGCAAAGCUUGAUCCAUGCACUCACAUCUACUCAAGGAAUGACUGGAGAACCUUGACCAAGUGUCCAUCAGCCUGCUUACCAUGGAGGAAGAUCAUUAUCUCAAAGGUCCUGCUUAGAGCAUCUAAUAUGUGGCAUUCCUCAGCUCCAUCACUAUAGCAACAGGGUGUGUCAACACAAGAAGCCAACAAGAUCUUUGAAGGUGACAGGAAUUUUUUUUCAAUGUUUGAUCUCCACCUGCACAGACUAUAUUUGGACCUGGACAUCAUCUCUCUUCUUUUCUAUGAAAUCCCAUGCUCCUGUUCCUAUCUCAGAAGUUUCACUGCACACCCUGAAUAAAAUCUGUCUCAUCAUCUUUAAUAAUGCUAUGAUCUUUUUCUUUAAUGCUGUUCCUAUCAUGUAUAAGAAGUUAUAACUACAUUAAAACCAA